GCCCCGUUGGCGCAAUGGAUAGCGCGUUGGACUUCGAAUCCAAAGGUUGCGGGUUCGAGUCCCGCACGGGGUU